rnacentral:misc_RNA from 1 species
CCGAGUUAUACAACUCCAUCAACCCUGUGAAUAUACCUAACUUGUUGCUUCGGCGGGAACUAGACGGCCCUGUACACGGGGCCCCCCCCAGAGACCCUCUGAACUCUGUUUUAUAAUGUAUUUUCUGAGGUAAACAAUGCAAUAAAUU